rnacentral:lncRNA from 1 species
UUUCAGUUCUGGUAAUUCAAACAAUAGCAGAGAUCUUAACUUUGGGAGUUUGAAUUCGGUGUUGUUGUUGCUGCUUUCUUCACCUAUAUCCCCUUCUUCAUCUGAUCUUGUUCCGCAUAUUAUCUCAUCCAUUUUCCCACAUCCUGCAACUAUAAUCCUUUCUAGGUUUACGAGGCAAAUCCAAGAAGAUGGAACCAAGAUCUCCAUGCUAUUGCAAUUCCUUACUUCAAUUUCUCGGAGAGAAUCGCAAAUCAAUUUUGCACUACAAAUUCUUUUCAGUUCUGGUAAAUCUACCGAUUCCAGCGAUCUUAACUUUGGGAGUUUGAAUUCGGUGUUGUUGCUGCUUUCUUCAUCUGCUCUUGUUCCACCUAUUAUCUCCUCCAUUUUCCCACAUCCUGUAACUAUAAUCCUUUCUAGGUUUACGAGGCAAAUCCAAGAAGAUGGAACCAAGCUCUCCAUGCUUUUGCAAUUCCUUACUUCAAUUUGUUGGAGAGAAUCGCAAAUCAAUUUUGCACUACAAAUUCUUUUCAGUUCUGGUAAAUCUUCCAAUGCCAGAUAUCUCAACUUUGGUAGUUUGAAUUCGGUGCUGUUGCUGCUGCUUUCUUCAUCUGAUCUUGUUCCAACUAUUAUCUCCUCCAUUUUCUCACAACCAAAAACUGAAAUAUUUUCUAGGUUUACGAGGUUUGGUAGCAAGACAAGAGGGAACAACUUCUUCAUACUACUACAUCCAGAGCAAUUGAACUCUUUAAGACCAGAAAAUACACC